CACAGGGCACAGGUGUCGGUUGGGCCCUUUUCUUCCUGGUCCUGCUUGUGGAUGUCAUUGUGGUCUGGCACUGGUGGCACCGUGUGGCUGCCAGGAAGAACCAGGAAAGGGCCCCCUCGGAGUCCCUGGCCCCCCUAGAGGAGGGGGAGGUUCUGUACACCCACGUUGUGAGCACCAAACAGG